rnacentral:tRNA from 1 species
UCCAGGGUAGCCUACUGGACAUGGCAUCUGCCCGGUAAGCGGAGCUCUGUGGGUUCGAUUACCAUCCCUGGCC